rnacentral:rRNA from 1 species
AGAACGAACGCUGGCGGCAGGCUUAACACAUGCAAGUCGAGCGCCCAGCAAUGGGAGCGGCGGACGGGUGAGUAACACGUGGGAACAUGCCUUUCGGUACGGAACAACUUCGGGAAACUGAAGCUAAUGCCGUAUGCGCCCUUACGGGGAAAGAUUUAUCGCCGAAAGAUUGGCCCGCGUCUGAUUAGCUAGUUGGUGAGGUAACGGCUCACCAAGGCUUCGAUCAGUAGCUGGUUUGAGAGAACGACCAGCCACACUGGGACUGAGACACGGCCCAGACUCCUACGGGAGGCAGCAGUGGGGAAUCUUGGACAAUGGAGGAAACUCUGAUCCAGCCAUGCCGCGUGAGUGAUGAAGGCCUUCGGGUUGUAAACUCUUUUACCGAGGAAGAUAAUGACUGUACCUGGAGAAUAAGCCCCGGACUACUUCGUGCCAGCAGCCGC